rnacentral:lncRNA from 1 species
CAUUUCAUUAGCACCUCUGAGGUGGCUGCAAAGCCCUAAGUGUUUCUUGCACUGCAGGUGAGAAAACCCAUUGAUCUCCAGCCCAGAUACCUGCAGGCAGCAACAGAGGAAGCAGCACGCCUGGGAGCAAGCACUGAUGGAACCUCGUCUGGACAGAUAUUUAUCUACCCAUGGCUACUGGCCGGUAAUCUCACUCGAAACUGUUGUUCCAAUACUUAUGGAACUCUAUCAGGAUAUUGUUUUGUAUCUGAGAUACGAAAGUGUGUUCCUAGUAGGUGACUCUUGCCGAGAAGACACCAUCCUCAGAAACUGUUUGGAGCAGAGCUCUGCGGGUUGCUCAGCCAGAAGCUUUUCACUAAAGAGUGAUGUAGCUGACCUGUACACAGAACUGACAUCCAUCUCCAAACUUGCUGUUGCUUUACAUUCUCUGCAGAAAUUUUAGAUGCCUUUGUUCAACCAUUUCUUCUCUUUCCAGAAUGCAUCUCAGAGAGCUGCAGUCUACUUUCUCCUCUGUUUUAUGCUUGUUUUGCAGUGGCAGAAUUCUCUUCAGAUUAUUGGUUUCUAAACAAAGCAGGUCAAUACCAAACGCUCUGCACUCUCACGCACAGCAGUAACGUUUUAAGGUAGAUUAGUUCAAACCUCAUGAAGGUGCCUUUUUAAUUGGAAAGUGGAAAAGGGGAGAAAAACAUUGUAAGAUGGAGACUUGGUUAAAAAUCUAAAGCUAAUGAAACAAAACAAGGAACCCCACAAAGAAAGAAAGAAACAAAAGCCAGCAAAAGCAAACCGCAAAAAACCUCAGUUGUGCAAUUUCUCUGUACAGUAAUUGGUAGCUUUAAAAACUUAAAGUACAGAUAAUGAACAGAAAUACUGCGGACAUUCUUAACCUUAGCAUAAGCAUGGUUAAGCUAGAUGGAGGCCAGACUUUGUAUGGUAUCUGGUAGGUUUCAGUAGCAUCC